rnacentral:ncRNA from 1 species
GUAAACCUAUCAAAAGAUAGGGACACAAAGCUAUGGGGCUAAAACAGAUAAACCAUUUGUCAUGCUUGCCAGGUUGCA